rnacentral:tRNA from 1 species
GCGCCCUUCGUCUAUCGGUUAGGACGUCAGGUUUUCAACCUGAAAAGAGGGGUUCAACUCCCCUAGGGCGUACCA